AGAGUUUGAUCAUGGCUCAGGAUGAACGCUGGCGGCGUGCCUAAUACAUGCAAGUCGAGCGAACAGAUAAGGAGCUUGCUCCUUUGACGUUAGCGGCGGACGGGUGAGUAACACGUGGGUAGCCUACCUAUAAGACUGGAAUAACUCCGGGAAACCGGGGCUAAUGCCGGGUAAUAUUUAGAACCGCAUGGUUCUAAAGUGAAAGAUGGUUUUACUAUCACUUAUAGAUGGACCCGCGCCGUAUUAGCUAGUUGGUGGGGUAAUGGCUUACCAAGGCAACGAUACGUAGCCGACCUGAGAGGGUGAUCGGCCACACUGGAACUGAGACACGGUCCAGACUCCUACGGGAGGCAGCAGUAGGGAAUCUUCCGCAAUGGGCGAAAGCCUGACGGAGCAACGCCGCGUGAGUGAUGAAGGUCUUCGGAUCGUAAAACUCUGUUAUUAGGGAAGAACAAAUGUGUAAGUAACUGUGCACGUCUUGACGGUACCUAAUCAGAAAGCCACGGCUAACUACGUGCCAGCAGCCGCGGUAAUACGUAGGUGGCAAGCGUUAUCCGGAAUUAUUGGGCGUAAAGCGCGCGUAGGCGGUUUCUUAAGUCUGAUGUGAAAGCCCACGGCUCAACCGUGGAGGGUCAUUGGAAACUGGGAAACUUGAGUGCAGAAGAGGAAAGUGAAUUCAUGUGUAGCGGUGAAUGCGCA
rnacentral:rRNA from 1 species